UGGGGAAUUUUGGACAAUGGGCGAAAGCCUGAUCCAGCAAUGCCGCGUGUGUGAAGAAGGCCUUCGGGUUGUAAAGCACUUUUGUCCGGAAAGAAAACCUCUGGGUUAAUACCCUGGGGGGAUGACGGUACCGGAAGAAUAAGCACCGGCUAACUACGUGCCAGCAGCCGCGGUAAUACGUAGGGUGCGAGCGUUAAUCGGAAUUACUGGGCGUAAAGCGUGCGCAGGCGGUCUGUUAAGACAGAUGUGAAAUCCCCGGGCUCAACCUGGGAACUGCAUUUGUGACUGGCAGGCUAGAGUAUGGCAGAGGGGGGUAGAAUUCCACGUGUAGCAGUGAAAUGCGUAGAGAUGUGGAGGAAUACCGAUGGCGAAGGCAGCCCCCUGGGCCAAUACUGACGCUCAUGCACGAAAGCGUGGGGAGCAAACAGG
rnacentral:rRNA from 1 species